AUUGAACGCUGGCGGCAGGCCUAACACAUGCAAGUCGAGCGGCAGCAGGGAGCUUGCUCCUGGAUUCAGCGGCGGACGGGUGCGUAAUGCCUAGGAAUCUGCCCGGUCGUGGGGGAUAAGGUCCGGAAACGGGAGCUAAUACCGCAUCCGCCCUGAGGGAGAAAGUGGGGGAUCUGCGGACCACGCGCUAUCGGUUGAGCCUAGGUCGGAUUAGCUAGUUGGUGGGGUAAAGGCCUACCAAGGCGACGAUCCGUAACUGGUCUGAGAGGAUGAUCAGUCACACUGGAACUGAGACACGGUCCAGACUCCUACGGGAGGCAGCAGUGGGGAAUAUUGGACAAUGGGCGAAAGCCUGAUCCAGCCAUGCCGCGUGUGUGAAGAAGGUCUUCGGAUUGUAAAGCACUUUUAGUUGGGAAGAAAGGCAGUAAGCUAAUACCUCGCUGUGUUGACGGUACCUACAGAAUAAGCACCGGCUAACUACGUG
rnacentral:rRNA from 1 species